UGGGGGCAUGGAGGUGCUGCGGAUGCCAGGGAGGAUCACCUGAGCCCAGGAGGUCAAGGCUUCAGUGAGCUGCGAUCUCACUGUCAGGCCUCUGAGCCCAAGCUAAGCCAUGGCAUCCCCGGUGACUUGCACGUAUACGCCCAGAUGGCCUGAAGUAACUGAAGAAUCACAAAAGAAGUGAAAAUGCCCUGCCCCGCCUUAACUGAUGACAUUCCACCACAAAAGAAGUGAAAAUGGCCGGUCCUUGCCUUAACUGAUGACAUUGUCUUGUGAAAUUCCUUCUCCUGGCUCAAAAAGCUCCUCCACUGAGCACCUUGUGACCCCCCACUCCUGCCCGCCAGAGAACAACUUUGUAAUUUUCCUUUGUAAUCCCUUUGUAAUUUUCCUUUACCUACCCAAAUCCUAUAAAACGGCCCCACCCUUACCUCCCUUCGCUGACUCUCUUUUCGGACUCAGCCCGCCUGCACCCAGGUGAUUAAAAGCUUUACUGCUCACACAAAGCCUGUUUGGUGGUCUCUUGUGAGCUGCGAUCUCACCACUGCACUCCAGCCUGGGCAGCAGAGCAAGACCCUGUCUCUAAUAAAUCAAUAAACAUCCUCUCAGCAGUUCUAUGAGUGGGUGCUACUUUUAUCCCCACUUCACAGAUGGAGACACUGAGCUCAUGCAGGAGAGACUCCUGGCAGCAAGUUAGGGGCAAGGCAUAAACCAAGAUCUCAGCCCCAUCAGCGGGUAAGGACUGGCGCAGGAGGCAGUCCUGGCAUUUUC
rnacentral:lncRNA from 10 species